UUUCUUCUUCUUCUUCCUCACAGGUUCUUCAUUCUUUCUCAGUCUUCUUCUUUCAACCAUAGGUAUUUCUUCAUCUCCAACACAUCGCAAGGAACUCCGACAUGCAUAGCGACAUGUCGGAGACGUACACUUGUCCGAUACGUGUUAGACACCGAUACGUUGAUGCCGGCAACGUGUUCGUUCUUCCCAGAUUCCUUCCCAACUUGUGUGUAUACAUUGAUGGUUUUGUUGUCAAGUAUUAGUUAGAUAAUGAAGAAUUGAGUUUUUCUUGCAUUUAGUGUUUUCUGCUGUCUUUUUUCAAUGAUCUGAUUAUUCUUG
rnacentral:lncRNA from 1 species